ACGUAGGGGGCGAGCGUUGUCCGGAAUUAUUGGGCGUAAAGGGCGCGUAGGCGGCCUGCUAAGUCUGAAGUGAAAGUCCUGCUUUCAAGGUGGGAAGUGCUUUGGAUACUGGUGGGCUGGAGUGCAGGAGAGGAAAGCGGAAUUACCGGUGUAGCGGUGAAAUGCGUAGAGAUCGGUAGGAACACCAGUGGCGAAGGCGGCUUUCUGGACUGAAACUGACGCUGAGGCGCGAAAGCGUGGGGAGCAAACAG
rnacentral:rRNA from 1 species